UACGGAGGAUGCAAGCGUUAUCCGGAAUUAUUGGGCGUAAAGCGCCCGUAGGCGGCCUGACAAGUUGGACGUGAAAGCUCCUGGCUUAACUGGGAGAGGCCGUUCAAAACUGUCAAGCUAGAGUCUGGAAGAGGAGAGCGGAAUUCCCGGUGUAGUGGUGGAAUGCGUAGAGAUCGGGAGGAACACCAGUGGCGAAAGCGGCUCUCUGGUCCAAAACUGACGCUGAGACGCGAAAGCGUGGGGAGCGAACAGG
rnacentral:rRNA from 1 species